CCCUUAGACGUUCUGGGCCGCACGCGCGCUACACUGACCAGUGCAACAAGCAUCCGUCCUUGGCCGACAGGCUCGGGCAAUCUUUGAACGCUGGUCGUGAUGGGGAUAGACUUUUGCAAUUUUUGGUCUUCAACGAGGAAUUCCUAGUAAACGCAAGUCAUCAACUUGCAUUGAUUACGUCCCUGCCCUUCGUACACACCGCCCGUCGCACCUACCGAUUGAAUGGUCCGGUGAAGCCUCCGGAUUGGCGCGCACCUCGGUGCCGCCGAGAAGUUGGCUAAACCUUACCAUUUAGAGGAAGGUGAAGUCGUAACA
rnacentral:rRNA from 1 species